AUGCAUGUUAUCUUCCCAUUUGACGCUGAAGAAAAUAAUCUUCUAGCAUAUCGACAUAUAUCGACAUUGAGAUAUUGGAAUCUAUUAUUUUUCUCGAAUACGCACGAGUGUGCGUAUUAUAUAUUAAUAGAAGGAAAAGGAGGAAGAGCCCCAUCCGUGAAUAUUUACAUGGCGUUUACACAACGCGAUCCACCGUGGUCUCUAGGUGGAUUACUCACCGUGUACCCACCCAUCUACUCCUACACCUACAGGGAAAAUGUUAAGAUCAGCGUGCUCCAGAUCACACCCUCUGAUUCUAUCCUCCAUAGCACAUGUCGCACAUCCGGGCUUUUUCCAUCAAAUACAAUUGAAUUCCGAUGCUUUCACAACUCCCACGUAACCAAUACCUGGAUGGCAGGAGGUCUUGGCAUAUCUUCCAAUAUGUGUUGCGUGUGUGCUCCACGUCAAUAG
rnacentral:rRNA from 1 species